rnacentral:rRNA from 1 species
CCUACGGGAGGCAGCAGUGGGGAAUUUUGGACAAUGGGCGCAAGCCUGAUCCAGCAAUGCCGCGUGAGUGAAGAAGGCCUUCGGGUUGUAAAGCUCUUUUGUCAGGGAAGAAACGGUGGAGGUUAAUACCUUCUGCUAAUGACGGUACCUGAAGAAUAAGCACCGGCUAACUACGUGCCAGCAGCCGCGGUAAUACGUAGGGUGCAAGCGUUAAUCGGAAUUACUGGGCGUAAAGCGUGCGCGGGCGGUUGUGCAAGACAGAUGUGAAAUCCCCGGGCUCAACCUGGGAAUUGCAUUUGUGACUGUACGGCUAGAGUGUGUCAGAGGGGGGUAGAAUUCCACGUGUAGCAGUGAAAUGCGUAGAGAUGUGGAGGAAUACCGAUGGCGAAGGCAGCCCCCUGGGAUAACACUGACGCUCAUGCACGAAAGCGUGGGGAGCAAACAGGAUUAGAUACCCUGGUAGUCCACGCCCUAAACGAUGUCUACUAGUUGUCGGGUUCUUUAUUGACUUGGUAACGCNGCUACGCGUGAGUAGACCGCCGUCGGGAGGUACGGUCGCGAGAGUAAACGUUAAAGUAAGUAGUAGCGNGAGAGAGACGACGACGACGACGACGGAGGGAGGGAGG